AGUGAACGUUGGCGGCGUGGAUUAGGCAUGCAAGUCGAGCGAUCGUAGCAAUACGGGAGCGGCAAACGGGGUAGGAAUACAUCGGAACGUACCUUUUGGUUGAGAAUAGCGUUGGGAAACUGACGGUAAUACUCAAUAAAGUCGAGAGACCAAAGGUUUACUGCCGGAAGAGCGGCCGAUGCGAUAUUAGGUAGUUGGUGGGGUAAUGGCCUACCAAGCCUGAGAUGUCUAGGGGUGUGAGAGCAUGGCCCCCACCACUGGGACUGAGAUACUGCCCAGACACCUACGGGUGGCUGCAGUCGAGGAUCUUCGUCAAUGGGCGAAAGCCUGAACGAGCGACGCCGCGUGCGGGAUGAAGGCCCUUGGGUUGUAAACCGCUGUCAGGGGGAUGAAACCGUAAGGUUGACAGAGCCCAGAGGAAGCACGGGCUAAGUUCGUGCCAGCAGCCGCGGUAAU
rnacentral:rRNA from 1 species